rnacentral:rRNA from 1 species
GUGGGGAAUAUUGGACAAUGGGCGAAAGCCUGAUCCAGCCAUGCCGCGUGUGUGAAGAAGGUCUUCGGAUUGUAAAGCACUUUAAGUUGGGAGGAAGGGCAGUAAGUUAAUACCUUGCUGUUUUGACGUUACCGACAGAAUAAGCACCGGCUAACUUCGUGCCAGCAGCCGCGGUAAUACGAAGGGUGCAAGCGUUAAUCGGAAUUACUGGGCGUAAAGCUCGCGUAGGUGGUUUUGUAAGUUGGAGGUGAAAUCCCCGGGCUAGACCUGGGAACUGCCUCCAAAACUGCAUGACUAGAGUACGGUAGAGGGUAGUGGAAUUUCCUGUGUAGCGGUGAAAUGCGUAGGUAUAGGAAGGAACACCAGUGGCGAAGGCGACUACCUGGACUGAUACUGACACUGAGGUGCGAAAGCGUGGGGAGCAAACAGGAUUAGAUACCCUUGUAGUCC